rnacentral:lncRNA from 1 species
GGGGGGGGGAAGGGGACGAGGAAGAGGGGGAAGGAAGGAGAAACCCAAGGGAAGAGAAGGGGCGGCGGGGGGGAGAGCGAGGAGAAGGAGGAGGGGAAGAGUAGAGGAGGAGACGGGGAGGAGGAAAAGAGGGAUGGGGACAGGGAGGAGGGGAAAGGAACGAGCAAGAGCGGGAGGGAGAAGGAGGAGGAGAGGGAGGGGGACUGGGAGAGGGAGAGGGAGGAGCAUUAGACGCAGGGGGAGGAAAGGGGCUGCAGGUUGCAGGGCGCUGGGAGGCCGGGGGGCGGCAGUACAGGUGAGUUCUCGGCCCCGGUCCCCUUCAUCCUCCAUUUCCAUCCCCCCUCCCUCUCUUCAUUUUUUUCUCUUCGCCACCACCUCUGAGAAGGCCGUCAGGCUUGGCUCUGGCAGACCGCCCUCCCCCGCCAGCCAGGUUUCGUCUGCACCGCAUUCGGACAGCAAAGAGUGCCCGGAGGCGGCCCGAGACAGCGAGGCCCCGCAGGCCGCCCUCCUGGGCCGGGAAGGGGGGUGGGGGGGCGCUCGUUGCCCUGGUGAGCCCCUUUCACUGCCAACUGUUGCCCCCGGAACCAGAAGGUUUCAGGUUUCGAAGCAGCUCAAAGGCCGGGCACCGCGCCCAGCGUUCGGACGGAGCCGUUUGUUUGCCCCCAAAGCCGGGGUUGGGGGCGGAAACCCCCCCCCCACUCCCCAAGGCCUGAGAGCUGAGCAUGCCCAGUUCCCUAGGAAAAAACCAGGGAAGAAUUUCCCAAGAGAGCGGGAUGGCAGCGGGGCACGAUCCCAAGGCUGGGCACGAUCUCGGUGCGGGGGCUGGGGGCUGGUACACGGGCCAGAGCAACAAGUACCGCCACACCGUGGUCCGAAGAGGAGAAAGGAGUCGCCCACUCCGGGUCGCCGGAUCCAGCCACGUCUGAGCCCCCAGGCUUGGGACGCCGGGGGAUACGAUGAGGGUAUUACGCACGGGCCAGUGGGAGAGCCCUGGCCUUCGUUGGGAAGGACUCCCAAGCCCCAAGGAGCUCCAAAUGACCUUGGAACGCAUCUGGGAGGGUGUCUCCAGAGGCACCUAAGUCAGGAUUCAUCAGUACAAGAGGGAUCACACCCACUGGACCACCCUGACAAAAUGGUCUUCUGAUUGUUCUCCAUCACACUCAACAUUCUGAUCUUUACCUCUGGGAUUGGUGCCUGGAAUGCCCCCCCCCCCCCCCCCCCAGCUUUUUGACUUUCAAAAUUGUCUCCAGCAUCACCAUUCUUGUGAAGUCCCCCCUCCUCUUUUUAAAAAAUACCUAUCCCUUCCUCCCAGUCAUAGGAAUUACUUACAUCUUUUUGUAAACACGUAAACACAUAUAUCUGCCCUGGUACAAUGUAAGCUCCUUCACAGCAGGAGAGAUUUGGAUUUGAUGUUAUAACCUCAGCACCUUGGAUAGCGCCUGGCACUUAGAGCUAUAGGUGCUUUAUGCGCAAUUGUUGAUUGAUUGGUUGGUUGAUGCUAUAUUUGUUAUACCUUCUGCAGUCUGAUCUAUGAUCUAGAGUCCCCAGUACACAGAGCCGGGGGCUUGAUCAAGAAUUAGGCAUCAUGGUGUAUUAGGUCAAGUGAUGAAGUUAGAAAGGUUUGGAUUCGAAUCCUACUUCAGACACUCUGAGCAAAGCAUUCUACCUAUUUACAUUGUAGUUUCCUCAUCUGUAGAAUGAGAUGGUUAGUUCACUAAGGUCUCUUUCAAUUCCAGUUCUAUAAAGAAUAGGAUUCGUUGGGGGCAUUUGUUUUUAUUUUUUAUUGAGUUAUGUGUAUGUUAGAGUUUUUGGUUAUUUUUAUUAUUUUUUUGUGGGGGCAAAUAAAAGGUGGUACUCAUCUAAAAAUUCCCUUUUUAUUGGCCAUCCAUCUCAUCACCAAUGUUUUCCCUAUGGUGAUUAUCCACAAUUUAUCCUGUCUACAGAUAGUUUGUACAGGGUCCUUUGCAUGUUGUCAUUUCUAUUACACUUAAGACUCUUUGAGAAGAGGGGCUUUUCUUGUCUUUUGCAUCCCCAGCACUUAGCAUGUGGUAGGUGAUUAAUAAAUGUUCUUUGAGAAACUGACUGCUCAGUGGUGAGAACAGGUAUUGAUCAUUCUUGGGAAAUGCACCAAUUCUCUUUGCUCAGAAUAUAAGUACUGCAAUUUGCAUUUAUUGCACUUAGAAUAAUCACUGCACUGUGUUCACCCACCCACACACACACACACACACACACACACACACCUGGCACACACUAAAGAAAAAAAAAAAGAGUAAGUUACUAGAGUCAGCUGGGAACCAAAGUGAAUUGAAUACUAGGUACCAAAGUAAAUUGAGUGUUAGGAAGAUUUUUUCAUGAGUUGGAAUCUGGCCUCGGGCACUUACUUAGUUAUGUGUCCCUGAACAAGUCACUUAAUCCUAUUUGCUACAGUUUUCCCAUGUGUAAAAUGAUCUGGAGAAGGAAAUGGCCAAUAGCUCCAGUAUCUUUGUCCAAAAAUAAAUUAAUAAACAAAUGGGAUCAUUAAAAGUCAAAGGUGACUGAAAAAUGACUUAACGAGAAGUUACCUAGUGCAGUGACCUAUCAGGUUUUACCUUCUUAGUGUGUAAGGCAUAGGUCAUCUGUAUAGAGAGCAGAUUAGAAACCAUAAAAAUGGCUCAUGCUGAUCUCUGAAAGGAGUGAGCCCAAGGGAGGCUCUCUGUGAAGGUGUAGGGGAGGUGAUGUGGAAUUUGGAAAGUUGUUGAAGUGAGAGGCCAGGCUCAGACUCAUAGAUACCAUUGACAAGGCAGAGAUCAUCUCACUCAAUAAUAAUUAUCCUCCCUCCCACAACAUACCCACAAAUCAUCCUCUACAUUCAAGCUACUGGCAAUGUCUUUCUUAAACUAAAUGAAAGAUAAAACUGAUCUCUGUAUCCUAUGCCCAUUAUUCCAACUCCUGUUUUAGUCUGAAGACAAUAGGAACUUAAUAAAUGCUGAACAACUGGAAGAAUGAAUGCAUCCUCUGAGAAUCUGAGAUGCCAGUCCAAUCUUACAAAAAAUAAGAUUUUGCUCAUAGGCAAAUCUUUCAAAUAAGUGAGAUUUUCCACAUACUCCCCCCUCAAUUCUCCUGCAUACUUUCUCCAGACUACACAGUAGUUUAGUUGCAAUAACUAACCCUUAUAUGAAACAAUUUUGAACUGCUCCUCUUCCAUCUCCUCCUUCCUCUUCUUUCUUCUCUUCUUGUUCCUCCUCCUCCUCCUCCUCUCUUUCAAGUACCUAGUCCAUCCUUGGCAAUGACAGAAGCUACAACCAAGAUACCACCCAAUAUUUAAUAAACCUAUGUUGAAUAUAAUAAAAUUCUCUCAAAGAGGAAGUACUCUUAUAAAUUGGCACCUUCUUAAGCCCCUGCUUUUUAUCAUCUCCACCUUUGCAAAAACUGGAUCUCAUGAAAAUCAGGGCCCAAAACUUGGUCAGAUGAACAGAUAUACUCCUUUCCCUCUGCCACUCAAAAAGUCUUCCCUAGUUCCCUAAUGCUUGGGAAGGAAGGUUCAGAUUUCUUUUUCUUUCUCUCAUGGACUCAAAAAUCUGUAGCCAAUAAAAAAGCACCUACUUGGUGGCAGAUAUUGGGAAAAUCCAAAACCAAACAAUAGUACAGUCUCUUCCCUCCAGAAACAUACAUUCAUAAGAAAGAGAGAAUAUCUCUCUUCCUGAAUCUAUACCAAGCAAAUAAAAGAUCAAGGAGAGGGGAACAAGAAGUUAAGGCUUCAUAGUCUAACCAUCUCACUUGUGUGGAACAAUGUAUUCCAGUCUGUCCCCUGAAUAUAUCUUUCACUCUCCCUUUUAUCCCUUUUUAUCCUGGAUGGUCCUUAAGUUCCCUUGAAGGUCAACUUUUCUGAUCCUAUGAAAGGGAAAUGGAUUCCCCUUGACGAAGCUUUUUCCUGAGAUCCUACUAUGUGUAAGGUUAAGGAAU